GAUGAAGAACGUAGCGAAAUGCGAUAAGUAAUGUGAAUUGCAGAAUUCAGUGAAUCAUUGAAUCUUUGAACGCACAUUGCGCCCCCUGGUAUUCCGGGGGGCAUGCCUGUCCGAGCGUCAUUACAACCCUCAAGCUCAGCUUGGUGUUGGGCCCCGCCGCCCCGGCGGGCCCUAAAGUCAGUGGCGGUGCCGUCCGGCUCCGAGCGUAGUAAUUCUUCUCGCUCUGGAGGUCCGGUCGUGUGCUCGCCAGCAACCCCCAAUUUUUUUCAGGUUGACCUCGGAUCAGGUAGGGAUACCCGCUGAACUUAAGCAUAUCAAUAAGCGGAGGA
rnacentral:misc_RNA from 1 species